UACGAAGGGAGCUAGCGUUGUUCGGAAUCACUGGGCGUAAAGCGCACGUAGGCGGAUUUGCCAGUCAGGGGUGAAAUCCCGGGGCUCAACCUCGGAACUGCCUUUGAUACAGCAAGUCUUGAGUUCGAGAGAGGUGGGUGGAAUUCCUAGUGUAGAGGUGAAAUUCGUAGAUAUUGGGAAGAACACCGAUGGCGAAGGCAGCCUUCUGGGCCAACACUGACGCUCAUGCACGAAAGCGUGGGGAGCAAACAGG
rnacentral:rRNA from 1 species